rnacentral:tRNA from 1 species
CAAAAAGUAGCUUAACUAUAAAGCAUCCAACUUACAAUUGGACCAUGCCCCACCACCCAUUGGGCCUUCUUGA